rnacentral:lncRNA from 1 species
CAAUUAAAGUAAAUACAAUUUAUUUUUGAUUUACAGAUUUCACAGGGAAAGGUGCUUCAAAAAUUAAGUGUGUAACAGUGAAGUAACUGAUAAAAGUGGCAGACUGAACCCCUGGGAGAGCCACAGUGUGAAGAUAAACUCGGGCAGCAGAAAAACCACUGGCUGCAAAGACUGAUAAUGACACAGACAUGGCAAGAACAGCAGCAGGGCAUGUGCGUAUGUGCUGCGGUUUCCACUUGACUCUCUGCAGACUUUAUGAAGGUAUGACUGAUCCACUCUGGGUUGGGUCAGUGAGGAGAUUCAUUAAACCUUCUCCCAGUUCUGAGGCCCCU